GACAAUGUGGCUGAGUGGUUAAGCGCUCAGCUUCCGAACCUGAGGUCCUGAGUUCGAAUCUCGGUGAAGGCU
rfam:Biomphalaria glabrata isolate BB02 unplaced genomic scaffold LGTN_random_Scaffold3009, whole genome shotgun sequence.